GACCAUCAGACAAAGUAACUCUUUGAGUGAAAUCAGUAUACACACAGAAGGAGCGCAAAACCUUCCUUAAUUGGUAAAUAUGAACCUUGAUGCGGUUGGCCGGACGCUUCUUGCAUGGAUCGAUACAGGCGUUAAGUCGAUUUUACAUGGCCAUUACCCUUUGCAGAAAAACAUCACGCCAUGAAUAAAUACUGUACGAGGUGACAAAUUAUGACAAGUCAGGA
rnacentral:ncRNA from 1 species